ensembl:snRNA U6 U6 spliceosomal RNA
GUGCUUGCUUUGGCAGCACAUAUACUAAAAUUGGAAUGAUACAGAGAGGAUUAGCAUAGCCCCUGUGGAAAGAUGACAUGCAAAUUCAUGAAGUGUUAUAUAUGUGU